AAUAAGGGUGUUAUGCCCUCCCUCUUUGUUCCCCUGUUUCCUAAAGUAUUUGUAUAAUGGCACCACAACGCAGGGUGAUCAGGAGCCAGCCACCCAGCUCUGCCAAGGGUACUGACAUACAGAGGAGCUCACCAGUCUCUGUUAGUGACAGUGAGGUGUGGAAGCAGAGCUUGCUGCCUGUUCUGAGCACGUUGACAGCUACAUCAGUGACAAACAAAAAGCUGAGAAUAUCAUUUCAGAUACAAACCUCACUAGAAAACACUUCUCAGCAUACUGAUUUCACAAGAGGCUCAUGACUGAGACACUAGAAAUAAGAGCAGAUAUGUCUACACCUUCCACUCCCUUUCCAAAGGACUCACGCCUUCUGGGGAUCUCUCCAAAAUGAUGCAGAUAGUCUGUACAGAGCUGGGAAGGCAGAGGAGGUGAAUGAUAUUGGCAGCCAGGCAGAGAACUAGCUAGCUGUUCUCUUCCAGACUUUCACGGCUGCACAGAGCAUAGUGUCUCCCUGUACCAUUUAGUGACUUUAUGACAUCACCACCUGUUACCAUGGAAAUCCAGAAACUACAAAUUUGGAUCUUGGCAGCAAGUGGGAUAAUGACCAAGAAAGCUGCUGAGCCAUGGAUGGAUUGUAGGAAUAUGUCAUGAGAAAGAUGCCUGGAGUCAUCUGUCCACACGCUGUGAUGCUGGCUCGCGUUUCCAAAACAGAGUUGCAGACAGAAGAGAUCAUGACUGCUCUGAAGAACUUUGCUAUCUAUGCACGUUCGUUUUUUAUGCUUUAUAGUGAGUCACUUUGAAAGGCUCCCUUUUUGGUCCUCUUUAGUUAGACUGCUGGUUACUUUUUCUUGCACAUCCAGCUUACUGGGACUGUUGUCAUGUUUUUUCUCCCUGGAAUAGUUGAAGUGUCGUCCUUUUCCCUUUUUUCCUCCUUUAUUUAUUUAUUUAUUUAUUUAUUUAUUUAUUUAUUUAUUUUGGGGGUAUGAAAGAUGCUUCUGAAGAGGAAGGAUUUUACUUCUUGGAAAAAUUCACGUACAACACACAUGACCCACACAGAGUUUCAGGCUGGAGGUAUGCUCUGGAAUUCCCAUGGAGGAGAGAACAUUUUGUUUUGGGUGGUAAAUUCCUGGUUCUGGUGAUCUCUGCCAUGGUUUCAGAGCGAGGUGCACUCCUGUGGCCUUUUUGUCCAUCCCAAAUAUGCUCUCCAAAUUCUGGCUGAUCUGGAGCUACUCUUAGGUGUACCCACAAGGGAUUAGGGGAAAGUACUGUGACACUGCCUGAUUCCCACACAAACCUUUAGGUAAAUAAAUGAAUAUGACAAGUAUCAUAUUAAGCCAUUAAGCUGACAAAUAUAUGGUUUUCUUAUUUCUUAUAUAAUAUACACUUGCACUUAUAAAUCUAAAUUAUUACUGGGCACCUUCAUGUCUGUGCUGAUGCUUUUCCUUAUAUUUGAUAAAGUGGAACUGAAAGGGCAGCUCAACAGGGCAUACAAGGACAGAGACAGCUAUAUCUUGCCAUCUUCAGCAUAAACAUAUUGACUCCUCGACUCAGAGAAAGGGGGGUGAAAGGAAUGCAGUGUAGAGUAUCCUUAGAGAAUAAACUAAUUGUCUUUCUCAUGUUUUCAUCCUCCUUUUCCUCCGGAGGCAAACACACACCUAAACCUGAGAGUCAUUCAAACUACACAUGUAUUUAUUGAAUUCAACUGCAUGGAACCCCAUCCCUUGAAGAAAACACUUGUGAAGAGCCAGAAAAUAGAUCAUUACAUCUGGUAACAGCAUUGAUACAGGCUGGUAACAUCAACACAGGGUGAUUCUCUCCUUCCUUCUGGAUUGCACUGCGAUGGGAUAGAUGAUUAGAAGUGCCUGAUAUCUGAUAGGAAAAUUGUGAUUGUAAUGGAUGAAAGCCCCUUUAAAGACAGCCCUUUCUUGUUCCCUUUCCUGGCCAUCUGGUUUUGUCUCAAGUCUUGGUUGCUGACUAAAGUGGCAACACAGGUAAGUUUUUAAAGGCCCCGAUUCAUAAAACUAGUAACAGCACUAAGAGAAGCUGAUGUAUAUUCUCUUCUGACUAGUGUAUCAUUAAUGAAACUGGUAUCACAUUUCCUUGUAAAAUAGCUAAUCCUGCAGGGACCAAGAAAAGGAUCUGGGCUGACUUCCAGGCUCCAGUGGGCUGACCAUUAGGAAUGAAGCCUUCCUGCUGCCUUCCUUAGGAAGGGGACACUGUGCGAGAGCUGUUUUUCAAAGCAGAACCUCAUCUUCAGCCCUGUGUUGUGGAGUUGAUGGCCUACAGCUGGGGAUCAUUAAGCCAUGGUGUCAUUCAGAAAGGGGAUGCACUGGCUGCUAGCUGACAGAGGCCAGUUUUAAGUUGCUAUGCUCCUCGAAAAGGAC